rnacentral:tRNA from 1 species
GUCCCCAUCGUCUAGUGGCCUAGGACUGUAGGUUUUCGACCUACCAACGGGGGUUCGAUUCCCCCUGGGGACG